CGGUAUUGUUUGAUAGUUUACUUGACACUGAUUCCAAAAAUAUAUGGUUCUAUAUACUUUAACAUUGAUUUAGUACAAAAAAUAGCUACUUCCGGUUUACAAAAUGUCACUUCCGGUUGUCUUUUUUAAGGUCACAUUGCUUACAACUUAAUGCAAAAAGUCCCCUGGCUUUAUCAUGUGUACAUAUUAGGUAAAAGCAAAGGUCAAAAUCUAGAACGUUAAAUUAUCAUAUGACCUUGAGAUCAAUUUCAAGGUCAUAA
rnacentral:lncRNA from 1 species